AUUCCAGCUCCAAUAGCGUAUAUUAAAGUUGUUGCAGUUAAAACGCUCGUAGUUGAAGUUUUUAUCACUUUUGCAUUCACCAAAUCUAUUUGGUGCGUGCGGGUGUACUCUGUCCACGGCUUCGACCGAGGUACAGUGUUACUUUGAGAAAAUUAGAGUGUUUCACGCAGGUCUGUGCUAGAAUACUAAAGCAUGGAAUAACAGUUCAAGGCCCUUGUGUUGACUGUUGGUUUGUCAAACUUGGAGCUAUGGUUAAUAGAAACCGCUGGGGGUAUUCGUAUUCGAAGGUCAGAGGUGAAAUUCUUAGAUUCUUUGAAGACGAACAACUGCGAAGGCAUCUACCAAGGAUGUUUUCAUCAAUCAAGAACGAAAGUUAAGGGAUCGAAGACGAUCAGAUACCGUCGUAGUCUUAACUAUAAACUAUACCGACUAAUAAUCGGAAGACGUACUAUCCGUACACUUUCAGAAAUUUUCGAGAAAUCAAAGUUUUUGGGUUCUGGGGGGAGUAUGGUCGCAAGGCUGAAACUUAAAGGAAUUGAC
rnacentral:rRNA from 1 species